GCGGCGUGAUUACAAACCGGAAGUCUGAAGGUCAACCGACCGCAGAGUCGAUGUGGACCCUUGUCCCCCGUGGCUGAGUG
rnacentral:snoRNA from 1 species